GACCAUGACACUGACAUUAUACCGUCAUUUUUCUGACCAUUAUACUAAUAUGAUACUAACCAUAAUAGUAUUAUGGUUAGUAUCAUAUUAGUAUAAUGGUCAGAAAAAUGACGGUAUAAUGUCAGUGUCAUGGUC
rnacentral:miRNA from 1 species